rnacentral:rRNA from 1 species
GCGCGCCUAACACAUGCAAGUCGAACGAGCGAGAGAGAGCUUGCUUUCUCGAGCGAGUGGCGAACGGGUGAGUAACGCGUGAGGAACCUGCCUCAAAGAGGGGGACAACAGUUGGAAACGACUGCUAAUACCGCAUAAGCCCACGGUGCCGCAUGGCACAGAGGGAAAAGGAGCAAUCCGCUUUGAGAUGGCCUCGCGUCCGAUUAGCUAGUUGGUGAGGUAACGGCCCACCAAGGCGACGAUCGGUAGCCGGACUGAGAGGUUGAACGGCCACAUUGGGACUGAGACACGGCCCAGACUCCUACGGGAGGCAGCAGUGGGGAAUAUCGCACAAUGGGGGAAACCCUGAUGCAGCGACGCCGCGUGGAGGAAGAAGGUCUUCGGAUUGUAAACUCCUGUUGUUGGGGAAGAUAAUGACGGUACCCAACAAGGAAGUGACGGCUAACUACGUGCCAGCAGCCGCGGUAAAACGUAGGUCACGAGCGUUGUCCGGAAUUACUGGGUGUAAAGGGAGCGCAGGCGGGAAGACAAGUUGGAAGUGAAAUCUAUGGGCUCAACCCAUAAACUGCUUUCAAAACUGUUUUUCUUGAGUAGUGCAGAGGUAGGCGGAAUUCCCGGUGUAGCGGUGGAAUGCGUAGAUAUCGGGAGGAACACCAGUGGCGAAGGCGGCCUACUGGGCACCAACUGACGCUGAGGCUCGAAAGUGUGGGUAGCAAACAGG